rnacentral:rRNA from 1 species
AACGCGAAGAACCUUACCUGGUCUUGACAUCCCGAAAACGCCCUGGAAACAGGGAAGUGCUCUCUUUGAGAGAAUUUGGUGACAGGUGCUGCAUGGCUGUCGUCAGCUCGUGUCGUGAGAUGUUGGGUUAAGUCCCGCAACGAGCGCAACCCUUAUCCUUAUUUGCCAGCACGUAAUGGUGGGAACUCUAAGGAGACUGCCGGUGACAAACCGGAGGAAGGAGAGGAUGAUGUCAAGUCAUCAUGGCCCUUACGGCCUGGGCUACACACGUGCUACAAUGGGAAGUACAGAGGGCCGCAAUACUGCAAAGUGGAGCAAAUCCCAGAAAACUUCUCGUAGUCCGGAUUGGAGUCUGCAACUCGACUCCAUGAAGUCGGAAUCGCUAGUA